rnacentral:rRNA from 1 species
GCUUAACACAUGCAAGUCGAGGGGCAGCAUGGUCUUAGCUUGCUAAGGCCGAUGGCGACCGGCGCACGGGUGAGUAACACGUAUCCAACCUGCCGUCUACUCUUGGACAGCCUUCUGAAAGGAAGAUUAAUACAAGAUGGCAUCAUGAGUCCGCAUGUUCACAUGAUUAAAGGUAUUCCGGUAGACGAUGGGGAUGCGUUCCAUUAGAUAGUAGGCGGGGUAACGGCCCACCUAGUCUUCGAUGGAUAGGGGUUCUGAGAGGAAGGUCCCCCACAUUGGAACUGAGACACGGUCCAAACUCCUACGGGAGGCAGCAGUGAGGAAUAUUGGUCAAUGGGCGAGAGCCUGAACCAGCCAAGUAGCGUGAAGGAUGACUGCCCUAUGGGUUGUAAACUUCUUUUAUAAAGGAAUAAAGUCGGGUAUGGAUACCCGUUUGCAUGUACUUUAUGAAUAAGGAUCGGCUAACUCCGUGCCAGCAGCCGCGGUAAUACGGAGGAUCCGAGCGUUAUCCGGAUUUAUUGGGUUUAAAGGGAGCGUAGAUGGAUGUUUAAGUCAGUUGUGAAAGUUUGCGGCUCAACCGUAAAAUUGCAGUUGAUACUGGAUAUCUUGAGUGCAGUUGAGGCAGGCGGAAUUCGUGGUGUAGCGGUGAAAUGCUUAGAUAUCACGAAGAACUCCGAUUGCGAAGGCAGCCUGCUAAGCUGCAACUGACAUUGAGGCUCGAAAGUGUGGGUAUCAAACAGGAUUAGAUACCCUGGUAGUCCACACGGUAAACGAUGAAUACUCGCUGUUUGCGAUAUACAGCAAGCAGCCAAGCGAAAGCGUUAAGUAUUCCACCUGGGGAGUACGCCGGCAACGGUGAAACUCAAAGGAAUUGACGGGGGCCCGCACAAGCGGAGGAACAUGUGGUUUAAUUCGAUGAUACGCGAGGAACCUUACCCGGGCUUAAAUUGCAGAUGAAUUACGGUGAAAGCCGUAAGCCGCAAGGCAUCUGUGAAGGUGCUGCAUGGUUGUCGUCAGCUCGUGCCGUGAGGUGUCGGCUUAAGUGCCAUAACGAGCGCAACCCUUGUUGUCAGUUACUAACAGGUUCCGCUGAGGACCCUGACAAGACUGCCAUCGUAAGAUGUGAGGAAGGUGGGGAUGACGUCAAAUCAGCACGGCCCUUACGUCCGGGGCUACACACGUGUUACAAUGGGGGGUACAGAGGGCCGCUACCACGCGAGUGGAUGCCAAUCCCCAAAACCUCUCUCAGUUCGGACUGGAGUCUGCAACCCGACUCCACGAAGCUGGAUUCGUUAGUAAUCGCGCAUCAGCCACGGCGCGGUGAAUACGUUCCCGGGCCUUGUACACACCGCCCGUCAAGCCAUGGGAGCCGGGGGUACUUGAAGUGCGUAACAAAGAGGAGCGCCCUAGGGUAAAACUGGUGACUGGGGC